AUGCUCACUUCAGCAGCACCUAAAUGGUAAAAUUAGAACAAUACAGAGAUUAGCACAGGCCCCUGUGAGAGGAUAAAAUGCAAAUUCAUGAAGUGUUGCAUAUUUAA
rnacentral:snRNA from 1 species